GGAACAUUUCACAAUGAGUGUCCUGACCAAGGCCAAGAAUGGAGGUGAGCAAUGGCAGAGGCCUACUCUGAGGCCUGGGCUCAGGCUGUCCUGUGCAUCAGGAUGACUGACAGCAGAGCCGCAAACACAGCUUAUCAAGCUGCCACAUAUGAGUUUCCUCCUGGAGGGGCAAGAUGCGGAGGGUGGCCAUCGCUGAACAGAGGCCAUCAGUUCCAUGUCCCUGGAGGGACUCAGUAUCAGCAAUAACCAGAGUGAGCCUGCCCCAGACCCUUCCUCAGUCGCCUUCGGAAGGAACUCUUUGGCCCCAUUGAUAUCUGGCCUGCAGCUUAGGAGAGGUCUCCAGAGACCAUGCCUGGAGCCACAAGAACUGAGAGGGGAAGAAACUAAAGUCCAGCGAGAUUGAUGGUCCUGACCGAUAGAUCGUCUAAUUGGAACUGACAAGCCAGGCUUUGGACCUAAACUUGUUGGGCUCUGAGGCGCCUGCUUUCUCCGCUUCCAGGAUGCCGCUCCCUUCCCCCACCGGUAC